rnacentral:lncRNA from 1 species
AAUGAAACAAUGAACUUGACAGAACUGAGCUGCGAAGUAAGCAGUGUCCAGUUUUCUUUCUUGGGGGCGCUUAUGAUUAUGGUCGAGCCCACAGUAUCGGACACUUACUCUGCAUUUCUCCAUUACACAAUGCAGGAGUUCGUUGGUGCCCUUUGGCUCUUACAGAAUCCAGACAAAAUCAGAGAGUUUCUACAGAAGUGCCAGACUGAAGAAUGGAAACACACAAAACACAUGGUUCCUUUCAUGUGUGGGCUUCUGAAUGAGAGGAAUAUUCGAUUGGUAAAUGGUCUUGUUCCAGCUCAACAGAUCAAGGAGACGUCAGAUUGGUUCUUCAAGGAAGUGGUGAACACAUUUCUUCCACUUCAAACAAACCAAGAUCAUGCAGAAGGUGGUGCUCCUGAGUUUGAGGUAGAUCUUCUGUUUUUAUGUCAGUGCUUGUAUGAAUCUCAGUCUACUGAGGCCUGUUUGCUUCUUCUGGACAAACUGGACUACAAUCUACACCUGGAUGAAGAACAUCUUGAUCCUCACCAGUGCUGUGCAGUCUCCUAUAUGAUCAGUCAGUCUGCAGAGAGAAAGGUUGACUUGGACCUGAACAGCUGCACUGUGUCAGACCAAGGACUAAGGCUGAUACUGGGCUCUCUGAAGAAUGUCCGAUAUCUCAGAUCUGACCCCUCAAUGCUGUGUCAACUCUGGACAACUUUGCUGAGCGGUGAGGCAGACAUUGACUUCACCAGCUUGCUUGGUCUCUGUGGAAAUGAGUUGCGCCUUCCAUUCCUGGGUGAAAGACGAGUGUUUGAGAGAGCAGAAGAAGUGAUGAAGCAGAGCCUGGAGAGGGUUAACCUCUGUCUACACUGGGAUCGGACAACUCUUCUCAGUGAAGCUCUCAGCAAGACCAUUUUAAAGUGUUUAACACAUAUCAACAAACUCAGUUUUAACCCACUACAUAAUCAGAGAGGAUCCCCUGAAAAACUAGAGAAAGAACAGAAAGCAGUCCUACUAAAUUUGUGUCUACAAGCCGCACUUUAUCACAGAGAAACGUUCCAGGGAGCUGUGAACACACUGCUGUCACUCUUCUCUGUGUAUCAAACUGAGAGAUAUGACAUCCUGCUGGAUCUGUACUCACAUGUGAAGGACUAUGAGACUCAAACAGGCAGGAGUGUCCUUCCAUCAUUGAGGCCACUUUAUCAGUCAGCUCCUGCAGUCUGGUCCAUAGACCUCUCAGAGAGAAAAGCCUCCCUCCUCCUAGAAGUGCUGAAACUCGAACCAGAUAAAAAAUCUGUCGAGCUGAAAGGCUGGUCAGACAAAGAGAGUGAAGUGAGGAGUUUCCUUCAGUGUCUGCCCUACAUCUCACAGCUGAGUUUUACUUCACCACAGGAUCAGAGAAGAUCCCCUGAAGAGUGGAGAAAGAGAGAGAAGACAUUCCUACUGAAUCUGUGUCUUCAAGCAGCCCUCCAUGCGAGAGAACACAUACAAACAACUGUAGAGAAAGUGUUUUCAUUGUCUGAAGUUUAUCAUGAUCGGAAAUGGGAUUUCCUGCUGGAUCUGUACUCACAUGUGAAGGACUAUGAGACUGAAACAGGCAGGAGUGUCCUUCCAGCAUUACAGCCAGUUUACCAGUCAGCUCCUGCAGUCUGGUCCAUAGACCUCUCAGAGAGAAAGGCCUCCCUCCUCCUAGAAGUGCUGAAACUCCAACCAGAGAAGAAACCAGUAGAGCUGGAAGGCUUGUCAGAUGAAGAGAGUGAAGUGAGGAGUUUCCUUCAGUGUCUGCCCUACAUCUCACAGCUGAGUUUUACUUCACCACAGGAUCAGAGUAGAUCCCAUGAAGAGUGGAGAAAGAGAGAGAAGACAUUCCUACUGAAUCUGUGUCUUCAAGCAGCCCUCCAUGCGAGAGAACACAUACAAACAACUGUAGAGAAAGUGUUUUCAUUGUCUGAAGUUUAUCAUGAUCGGAAAUGGGAUCUCCUGCUGGAUCUGUACUCACAUGUGAAGGACUAUGAGACUCAAACAGGCAGGAAUGUCCUUCCAGCAUUACAGCCAGUUUACCAGUCAGCUCCUGCAGUCUGGUCCAUAGACCUCUCAGAGAGAAAGGCCUCCCUCCUCCUAGAAGUGCUGAAACUCCAACCAGAGAAGAAACCAGUAGAGCUGGAAGGCUUGUCAGAUGAAGAGAGUGAAGUGAGGAGUUUCCUUCAGUGUCUGCCCUACAUCUCACAGCUGAGUUUCUAUCCAUGGUGGUCUGACAACUCAAAGCUGAUCAAGUUCCUGGUGGGUCUCCUGUCUCAAGCAGCAGAGUGGGAGGAGCAGUCAGGAGAGAAGACACUGAAGCUGCUAUCAUCAGUGUUUACUUACAGCACUUUCCCUCUCUAUGACUGGGAUGAUUAUCAUAAGUGGUUUCAAUGUGAUUUCCUGCUGGAUCUGUGCUCACAUGUGAAGGACUAUGAGACUCAAACAGGCAGAAGUGUCCUUCCAGUAUUACAGCCAGUUUACCAGUCAGCUCCUGCGGUCUGGUACAUAGACCUCUCAGAGAGAAAGGCCUCCCUCCUCCUAGACGUGCUGAAACUCCAACCAGAGAAGAAACCAGUAGAGCUGAUGAAGUGGUCAGAUGAAGAGAGUGAAGUGAGGAGUUUCCUUCAGUGUCUGCCUUACAUCUCACAGCUGAGUUUUACUUCACCACAGGAUCAGAGUAGAUCCCAUGAAGAGUGGAGAAAGAGAGAGAAGACAUUCCUACUGAAUCUGUGUCUUCAAGCAGCCCUCCAUGAGAGAGGAACCAUACAAACAACUGUAGAGAAAGUGUUGUCACUGUCUGAAGUUUAUCACGAUCGGAAAUGGGAUCUCCUGCUGGAUCUGUACUCACAUGUGAAGGACUAUGAGACUGAAACAGGCAGGAGUGUCCUUCCAGCAUUACAGCCAGUUUACCAGUCAGCUCCUGCAGUCUGGUCCAUAGACCUCUCAGAGAGAAAGGCCUCCCUCCUCCUGGAAGUGCUGAAACUCCAACCAGAGAAGAAACCAGUAGAGCUGGAAGGCUUGUCAGAUGAAGAGAGUGAAGUGAGGAGUUUCCUUCAGUGUCUGCCUUACAUCUCACAGCUGAGGCUGAAUGUGGGCAUGGCAGUGAGACUGGCCAGACUGGCUAGGAGGACAGGGAGAGGGGGUACUCCACUGACUGUCCCAGAACUCUCCCUGGUCCUAAAGAGCAGCCAGCCACCAGAGAGAGUGUUAUCCAGAGCUCUGAGUAGUGUGGCGUCCCUGCUGAGAUUCUGGAGGGUUCAGUGUCUGGACCUGACUGACUUCUGCAUCCAGGGUCACUCUCUCAUCACACUGCUGUGUCACCAGGACCCUCACACUCUCAGACUGAACUCAGACACUCUGCAGCAGCUGGCUGUGGCUGUGUAUGAAGCUCAGGACAAGGACUUGACUCAGUGGUUCCUGGAGAAGGUUGGUGGAGACCUGACCUCCUGCAGGCUGGACUGGGACGUGCUUCUCUCUCUGCUGCAGCAUUCAACCCACAACAUCACAGUGGACCUCAGGAAGAACAGGCUUCUAGAGAAGAACAUCUCAGAUCUUCUCCCCUUUCUGGGAAGGGUUAUAUUCAAGAGGCUCAGUUCCAGCUUUGUGAAGUCCACCAUCAGACAGAUCUAUGACAGUAGAGACAGUGACUGUGUGUCCAGUUUGUUGAGGUCUUCAGACCAUUGGAUCAACCUGAACAGCAGAGAGCUGGACAGAGUGGACUGUACUGCUCUGUGUUUCACCCUGCAGCACAGCCACCAAGUCAAAGUCAACCUGCUGUGGACCUCCAUACCACCGGGGGAGAUAGAGAGCAUCCUGCCUCUUCUGGACAGAGUCUCCCAACUCAGGUUUAGUUGGCACUCUUUGACCAUUUUAGAAUGGAUAGAACUAUGGUGCUUUACACUGUCUGACUCUGAUUUUAACCACUAACCCUAACCUUAGUGUAAUGCACUUACCUUACCCUCAGGGGUGGAAUUGAAGGGGAACACGUGGGAGUUGAUGUGAUACACAGAGUUGUAGUGUGUUUUAUCAGUGUUUUAUUGUGUGCUGGUGUGUAAAUAAUCCUGUCUCUCUCUCUCUCUCUCUCCCUCCUGCUGUAGUGUUGACAGGAAGCUGUUGCUGAGUUUCCUCCACUCCUGCGCUGCCUCUCAGAUCCUACAGGGGGCACUAUCACCACCACCAACAAUAACAACAACAGCAGCAGAGCUGCUCAGGGCUCUGCAGCACAGGUUGGACUUCUCCUGCUCCUCCUCUGUGGACCUGUCAGCUCACGACCAGGGGGAGGCGCUGUGUCUGACCACUGACCACUGUAGGGCCAUAAACUCUGUUCUGAAGCAGAGCCAACACAGCACACGGCUGGUUCAGAACCCGACCCGGAACCAGUCCCGAAACCAGCCCCAGGUGCAACUCAUCCUUAAAGACUGUGAGGUGGAGCAUGGAGCACUGAGAGAGCUGCUUCCCAUCUUGCAUAUUGUCAAGCUGAGCCCCAGCAAAGCUCUGCUACUUCAGCUGCUGGACCAUGUGUGUGAGGGGAUUGAAGAGGGGGUUCUGAAGCACGCAGAGUCCCUGUGCAGAGCCCUGGAUGGGGAGCUGGACCUCAGUAAGACCAGGCUGAACCAGAAGGCCUGUGGAUCUCUGGCCCUGGUUCUGGAACACUCAGAGGGGCUGUCAGAACUGUACCUCAACCACUGCCAACUCACAGACCACCACCUACAGCCCCUGCUCACACACCUGCACAAAGUUGAAGUCCUGGACCUGAGUCACAAUGACAUCACUGAUGCUCUGACCGACAGAAUACUCCAAUUGGUCUCUACCAACACUUCAAUACGCACCGUACGGCUCUUCAACAACAGAAUCAACGACAGAAGUCCGUUCCUGACAGACAAGAGGUUUGAGAUCUGGUGAAGCAGCAUCAGGUCCAAGUCCAGACAGAGGAAGAGAAGAUGGAUGUUGAAGAAGAGAAGAUGGAUGUUGAAGAAGAGAAGAUGGAUGUUGAAGAUGGGUGUAGUAGCUACGAAGCCUCGGCAGGGUGAGACUAGAGGGACUUUUCUGACCAGCAUCCCAUCAACCUUGACCCUAACUGUAACCUGAUUUUAACCAAUUCUUAAAUAUUGAUUUGCAUGUCAGCCACAUCCCCUUAGUUUUUAGCUGACCUCAUCAUGGUGUCAGACGAACGGCAAGUGAUUAUGGGGCUAAGGUAUUGUAAAAAUAGUUGAGACUCCAGAACUCUGGAAUGUUCUGAGUGUAAUGGAUAGGAAUGUGUAGUUCUAUUUACCUCUUACAUGGUUCUUAAACACACAGGAACAUGUGUAGUAUAACGUUUUUUGAGCUUUACUUAACUUGAUGAUUUUUGUGAUCAGUCAAUUUGUGAAAUUCCAUCAGAAGGAAUAGAUUGUAUAUGCAUUUCUAUAGUCUAGUAUUUAUCAGGUGGAUGGGAAUGUGUUCUACAGUUGCAAUGGGAGCCUUAAUACAUGAGUGUUUUGUUGCAGGUCAACUGCAUGGUAUUGUGUUACUCAGGCUAGCCUUGUUGUGGACCAAGCUUCCCUAUUCAGGAAGCCAGAGGUGUGUUGAGUUCGCUUGAACGUUUGCUACGUUGUGCAACGGUUUGUACUGAAUGACACGUUUCCCCAAAAUGUUUUUGAACAGACUUCGAGGUACAUUUGGUGGGUGUGGCGAGGUGUGGCUUGAAGCAAUGAGUGACAUAUUUUUAUUUUUAAAGGGCAGUGGCCAUGCUGACAGCAUUCUCCAACCCACAACCCAACCCUUCCCCAUUUUUCAACUGGUUGUUCAGUACAUCACCGUUUCCGUACAAUUGAACCGUUUCAGAAUGUAAAAACAUACUGAUCGCAGCCCUGGUGAAGUCCAUGGUAGAAAGUAACUACAAGUGUGGUGGAAACCAUUGAAGCCUCGCAACACGUCAAACCAAUCAAUUGCCUUGCUUUGGCCGAGCACUAAAGGUGCCCACUAGUGCCGUAGGAGCAACAGUGUGAGUGGAUGCCCAGGAAGUUGCUGAUGUAUAACAUAGCCUUUAUGUACACAUACCAUAACAAAAUGUAUUUAGUAGAGCAGUUGUAAUACCUUCAUCGACUUGUGAAGAACAUUACACGCAGCUUCCCUUUUAGGGGCAUGUGGGGGAGGUUUCUUGAAAUAUAACAUCCAAUCAAAAUGUAGCCGCUGGAACCUAGCAGACCAUUCUAACUGUUUUGGCUAAUACAAAAUUCUCCAGACCUCCAAAGGAGGCAUGACAACAAUGUGAUUUUGGAGGUAUGGCUACAUGAGACUAGUACAAGCCUUUCUCAUAUCAAAACAGACAAACUAUAAGAAAUAAUAUAUGAAUAUUUUGUGUUUUUAAUAAAUGUACCUUGAGGCCCAUGAUUGGUUUUUGACUGUGGUCUCUUCAGGUUGAAAUCAUUACUAGUAAAUCCUAAAUAAUCUGUUUCAAGUUAAUGCUGGUAUUAAAGCGAUCCCAUCCCACGUGUAUUUAUUUUCAUGAAAGUUUAAGUUGAGAGCUUAGCACUAUGGACCAGCAGAUGGGGUUGCUUCAGAGAGCCUUGACUGGGGUUAGAACCUACAGCCAUGCUUCAGAGAGCCUUGACUGUGGUUAGAACCUACAACCAUGCUUCAGAGAGCCUUGGCUGGGGUUAGAACCUACAACCAUGCUUCAGGGAGCCUUGACUGGGGUUGGAACCUACAACCAUGCUUCAGAGAGCCUUGACUGGGGUUGGAACAUACAACCAUGCUUCAGAGAGCCUUGACUGGGGUUGGAACAUACAACCAUGCUUCAGAGAGCCUUGACUGGAGUUGGAACAUACAGCCAUGCUUCAGAGAGCCUUGACUGGGGUUAGAACCUACAACCAUGCUUCAGAGAGCCUUG